CAAUAUGCCCCAUUUCGCUAACCUCCACUGAGCCCCAAGCUCUGAAGAUCAAAGUCAAAGCACGAAAUGAACGUGAGAGAGCUGGAAAGCUAACUACAAAGCCUCUAAAAGUUACGUAACAUGAAGAAACACACUCGAUUCUGCCUCUCCCAUUGAAUAGAGCAAUAAAACAUGGACACAACACACAAAGCAGCUAUUUGAGGACUCUGAGAAGGAAAUGGCAGCACACAGAUUGGGGGAGAAGACCAGAAUUUGAAAUGCUGCUGAACCACAGUAGAGUGAUACAAGAUGUGACCGUUGAAGAAUGCUGGAUGAAAGGCGACUGCCUUCAUGGAACCCGUAUGGACUCCGUGUAUAUUUUUUGGGUAAUUUCCUAUGACUCAGUAAUUAUUUCAAAAUAAAAAUGUUUAAAAAGUGAA
rnacentral:lncRNA from 10 species